UUUUCUUUUUCUUUAAUUGAAAUGUUAUAUCUCGUCAGCGAAUUACUGUAAAAAAAUGGGCUUGAUAUAUUUGUGUUGGAAAUUGAACGGCAUAUAAAAAAGGUUUCUUAUCAUUUUAUGGGAAAUCUAAUUCUUCAACAGUUAUUAAAGGUAAAAUUAAAAUUAUUUCGCGAUUUACUCGUACAUAUUAGACAGAAGAUGUAAAUAAAAUAUUAAACAAAUUUCUAUUGAAAAAGAAACAAUCGUGAAGAAAUUAUAAAAAAUUAAACUAUGUUGGUUGAUAAGUGUUGCUUGGUUGAGGCAAAGCGUUAGUAGUAUUGGGCAUUGAGUUAAGUAGGCCUACUCCCGGCGUUUACUCGUGAGACCUGAAGAUGUGUAAUGGAGCAUCAAAUAAAUGUGAUUGGAUGUACGAGUCGUUUCUGGCGUGCUAGGACCUUAAGAAUCACAUGCAUUAUUGUAGGAGGGAGAUUAUUCACGAUUGACAUUGGAAGAAUCAGCGGCUUUACAGAGUUUAUGGAAAAUAUAUCGAUUUAGUAAUCGUUAAUGAAGAUUUUGACGAUAUACAUUUCGUCAGGUAAUUGCGGUGCACUGGACGACUUGGCUAUUAAACAUCAAUGGGUACCAGUCAAUUGGAUCUAUUGAUUUUGAUACAUAAUAAAAAAUAAAUACACGAGAAAAUAAUUAUAUGAAUAGUGAAGUAAAUAAAUUUGGUUGAUUUAUUAUUAUAAUUAUUAUUGUUUAAUAUAGUUCAGUAAAACUGAAUACAGUUUUUGUUUAUAUUGUAAAGAAAAAAAUGUAUGGAUAGAAUUGUUAAAACAAUG